rnacentral:rRNA from 1 species
UACGAAGGGGGCUAGCGUUGUUCGGAAUCACUGGGCGUAAAGGGCGCGUAGGCGGCCGAUCAAGUCGGGGGUGAAAGCCUGUGGCUCAACCACAGAAUUGCCUUCGAUACUGUUUGGCUUGAGACCGGAAGAGGUUAGUGGAACUGCGAGUGUAGAGGUGAAAUUCGUAGAUAUUCGCAAGAACACCAGUGGCGAAGGCGGCUGUCUGGUCCGGUUCUGACGCUGAGGCGCGAAAGCGUGGGGAGCAAACAGG